CUCUUCCGAGACCGUCCAAAACAAACAGAGACAAGCAAGCUUAGCAUAACCCAACACAACUUCACCAACAAGAACACAAACAACACCAUUUCAAUUUAAUACGUACUACUUGAAACAAUGUCCCUGAAAAGAAUUAAUAAAGAACUGGUCGACCUCGGGAAG
rnacentral:ribozyme from 1 species